rnacentral:tRNA from 1 species
GGGGUCAUAGCUCAGUUGGUAGAGUGCUUGCGUCACAUGCAUAAGGCCCUGGGUUCAAUCCCCAGCACCA